rnacentral:rRNA from 1 species
CAUUACCGAGUGAGGGCCCGCNNNNNCCCACCUCCCACCCNNNNNNANUUUACCUUGUUGCUUCGGCGGGCCCGCCUUAACUGGCCGCCGGGGGGCUUACGCCCCCGGGCCCGCGCCCGCCGAAGACACCCUCGAACUCUGUCUGAAGAUUGUAGUCUGAGUGAAAAUAUAAAUUAUUUAAAACUUUCAACAACGGAUCUCUUGGUUCCGGCAUCGAUGAAGAACGCAGCGAAAUGCGAUACGUAAUGUGAAUUGCAAAUUCAGUGAAUCAUCGAGUCUUUGAACGCACAUUGCGCCCCCUGGUAUUCCGGGGGGCAUGCCUGUCCGAGCGUCAUUUCUGCCCUCAAGCACGGCUUGUGUGUUGGGCCCCGUCCUCCGAUCCCGGGGGACGGGCCCGAAAGGCAGCGGCGGCACCGCGUCCGGUCCUCGAGCGUAUGGGGCUUUGUCACCCGCUCUGUAGGCCCGGCCGGCGCUUGCCGAUCAACCCAAAUUUUUANCCAGGUGGNCCGCGGAUCAGGUAGGGAUACCCGCUGAACUUA